rnacentral:rRNA from 1 species
GGGUUGUAAACCUCUUUUCACAGGGAUGGAUAAUGACAGUACCUGAGGAAUAAGUCACGGCUAACUACGUGCCAGCAGCCGCGGUAAUACGUAGGUGGCGAGCGUUAUCCGGAUUUAUUGGGCGUAAAGUGAGCGCAGACGGUUUUUCAAGUCAGAUGUUAAAUCUCUCGGCCUAACCGGGUGGGUGCAUUUGAUACUGUUAAACUAGAGGACAACAGAGGGAGGUAGAAUUCCCGGUGUAGUGGUGGAAUGCGUAGAUAUCGGGAGGAAUACCAGUGGCGAAGGCGGCCUCCUGGGUUGUUUCUGACGUUCAUGCUCGAAGGUGUGGGGAGCAAACAGGAUUAGAUACCCUGGUAGUCCACACUGUAAACGAUGGACACUAGGUAUAGGGAGUAUCGACCCUCUCUGUGCCGAAGCUAAC